UGGGGAAUAUUGCACAAUGGGGGAAACCCUGAUGCAGCGACGCCGCGUGGAGGAAGAAGGUCUUCGGAUUGUAAACUCCUGUUGUUGAGGAAGAUAAUGACGGUACUCAACAAGGAAGUGACGGCUAACUACGUGCCAGCAGCCGCGGUAAAACGUAGGUCACAAGCGUUGUCCGGAAUUACUGGGUGUAAAGGGAGCGCAGGCGGGAAGACAAGUUGGAAGUGAAAUCCAUGGGCUCAACCCAUGAACUGCUUUCAAAACUGUUUUUCUUGAGUAGUGCAGAGGUAGGCGGAAUUCCCGGUGUAGCGGUGGAAUGCGUAGAUAUCGGGAGGAACACCAGUGGCGAAGGCGGCCUACUGGGCACCAACUGACGCUGAGGCUCGAAAGUGUGGGUAGCAAACAGGAUUAGAUACCCUGGUAGUCCACACCGUAAACGAUGAUUACUAGGUGUUGGAGGAUUGACCCCUUCAGUGCCGCAGUUAACACAAUAAGUAAUCCACCUGGGGAGUACGACCGCAAGGUUGAAACUCAAAGGAAUUGACGGGGGCCCGCACAAGCAGUGGAGUAUGUGGUUUAAUUCGACGCAACGCGAAGAACCUUACCAAGUCUUGACAUCCUGCGACGGUACUGGAAACAGUAUUUUCCUUCGGGACGCAGAGACAGGUGGUGCAUGGUUGUCGUCAGCUCGUGUCGUGAGAUGUUGGGUUAAGUCCCGCAACGAGCGCAACCCUUAUGGUCAGUUACUACGCAAGAGGACUCUGGCCAGACUGCCGUUGACAAAACGGAGGAAGGUGGGGAUGACGUCAAAUCAUCAUGCCCUUUAUGACUUGGGCUACACACGUACUACAAUGGCGUUAAACAAAGAGAAGCAAGACCGCGAGGUGGAGCAAAACUCAGAAACAACGUCCCAGUUCGGACUGCAGGCUGCAACUCGCCUGCACGAAGUCGGAAUUGCUAGUAAUCGUGGAUCAGCAUGCCACGGUGAAUACGUUCCC
rnacentral:rRNA from 1 species